GUGGGCCAGGGGUGGUGUUGGGACAGCUGCAUUUAAAAAGGCAUCUCCAAGAGCUUCCAUCGAAGACUGCCUCUUGGUGCAG
rfam:Chlorocebus sabaeus isolate 1994-021 chromosome 9, whole genome shotgun sequence.